rnacentral:rRNA from 1 species
CAAUACUGACACUGAGGAGCGAAAGCGUGGGAGCGAACAGGAUUAGAUACCCCUGGUAGUCCACGCCGUAAACGGUGGGCGCUAGUUGUGCGAACCUUCCACGGUUUGUGCGACGCAGCUAACGCAUUAAGCGCCCCGCCUGGGGAGUACGAUCGCAAGAUUAAAACUCAAAGGAAUUGACGGGGCCCCGCACAAGCAGCGGAGCAUGCGGCUUAAUUCGACGCAACGCGAAGAACCUUACCAAGGCUUGACAUAUACAGGAAUACGGCAGAGAUGUCGUAGCCGCAAGGUCUGUAUACAGGUGGUGCAUGGUUGUCGUCAGCUCGUGUCGUGAGAUGUUGGGUUAAGUCCUGCAACGAGCGCAACCCUCGUUCUGUGUUGCCAGCAUUUAGUUGGGGACUCACAGGAGACUGCCGGGGUUAACUCGGAGGAAGGUGGGGAUGACGUCAAAUCAUCAUGCCCCUUAUGUCUUGGGCUGCACGCAUGCUACAAUGGCUGGUACAAACGGCUGCAAUACCGCAAGGUGGAGCGAAUCCGAGAAAGCCAGUCUCAGUUCGGAUUGGGGUCUGCAACUCGACCCCAUGAAGUCGGAGUUGCUAGUAAUCGUAGAUCAGCAACGCUACGGUGAAUACGUUCCCGGGGCUUGUACACACCGCCCGUCACAUCACGAAAGUCGGUAACACCCAAAGUCAGUGCCCAACC